CGAUCGUCCGGGUGAUUCCGAUCCUUCUCAUUGUCAUUAGAAUUCACACACAAAUGAGCAUAUUCUGAUCCUGCGUCGUGCCUUCAUCAAUCUUUCUCUUGAUUACGAUCAAUUAUAUUUGUAUCAUGACAUAACAUAAAGAUCAACAAAAGAUCUGAAUAAGAUUUAUAGGAAAAAAGAUCGGAUAUGGGCGUGGUGAUGGCACCGAAGAUGGGGUGGUGAUCGCGCUGCAGAUCGGAAUCUCGGAUAUGGAGUGGUGAUGGCGCUGCAAAUCAGGCUUACGAGACGAGUAAACAGAAGAGACCAUCAUAAAAAAAGAAAAAAAUGCAGCAUCACUGUUUUUACGCUGCUUUAAACUGGGAAGUAUGGAAAGAAGCUCCUAUACAUAUGGAUGGAUAUAUCCAUGGAGGAAAUAAUCCAUGAAGAACGACUCUUCAACACUGGUGGAUAUCAAAAAGGUGCCUUUUCAAUUCAUUUUGGUCAACGGGGAGUAAAUUUUGUAAAUCAUUUGACAAGUGAUCGAUGUUAAGGGAUGGAAUACGGAGAAAGUUUUUUAUUCUUGCGGUUAUUAAGGUUCGUUCAUCAUCAUAAUUAUCAUUAAUCGCCUGAAUGUUUCGAGUUUUGGAUUCUUGAGGUUUACUAACAUUAAUCCGCAUCUUUGGUACAUUUUAAGAUCGUGCUUACUGUUGGAACCACUAAAUAUGCAUCAUGGGAUAGGUAAUUAAAGUUGAUUAUACUAAAUAUUUUAAUUUUCUAAUUUAUAACCAUGAAACUCUUGAUUUUAUAUUGUUGUUGCAUACAAAUGUAGAACGUUGGUGAAGUGUGAAACAGAACAUUGCGGUUUGCAAUUAUAAACGCCUUCUGACAAAGGCAUAGGAGUGACACUCUUUUACUUAACAUUUUUCUGUAAAUACUUUGUCAUUUUUGUUUUAAUAGAUUUCUACGAAAUUCUGAAUGCCCAACAAUGCAAAUGAUUCAAUCGUGAUGUUCAUUUGUGAUUGCUUAUUUUUUCUCUA